rnacentral:rRNA from 1 species
UCGCCUGUUUAUCAAAAACAUGUCUUCUUGAUUUAUAAUUUGAAGUCUGACCUGCCCACUGAGAUUAACUUAAAGGGCCGCGGUAUUUUGACCGUGCAAAGGUAGCAUAAUCAUUAGUCUUUUAAUUGGAGGCUAGAAUGAAUGGUUGGACGAGGUAUUGACUGUCUCUGUAUAAAUGAGUUUAGAAUUUAACUUUUAAGUGAAAAGGCUUAAAUAUUUUUAGAGGACGAGAAGACCCCAUAGAGCUUUAUAAUAAGUUUUUUAUAAUUUGUUUAGUGGUUUUUUAUUAUAUUAAAUUAAUUAUUUUGUUGGGGUGACAGGAAGAUAUAAUAAACUCUUUUUAUUAAUGAAACAUUGAUUUAUGAAUUAUUGAUCCAUUUUUAAUGAUUAAAAGUCUAAGUUACCUUGGGGAUAACAGCGUAAUCUUUUUCGAGAGUUCUUAUCGACAAAAAGGGUUGCGACCUCGAUGUUGGAUUAAGGGUAAUUUUGGGUGUAGAUGUUCAAAGUUUAGGUCUGUUCGACCUUUAAAUCCUUACAUGAUCUGAGUUCAAACCGGAGA